GGCGGGUCGCCCCGCAUUGCAGCGUCGUGAACCUGGUCAGGUCCGGAAGGAAGCAGCCACAGCGAUUCACUGCAAGUGCCGGGGGAACGGCUCGCCACC
rnacentral:SRP_RNA from 1 species